rnacentral:rRNA from 1 species
AGCGAACGCUGGCGGCAGGCCUAACACAUGCAAGUCGAACGGAUCCUUCGGGAUUAGUGGCGGACGGGUGAGUAACACGUGGGAACGUGCCUUUUGGUUCGGAACAACUCAGGGAAACUUGAGCUAAUACCGAAUGUGCCCUUCGGGGAAAGAUUUAUCGCCAUUAGAGCGGCCCGCGUCUGAUUAGCUAGUUGGUGAGGUAAAGGCUCACCAAGGCUACGAUCAGUAGCUGGUCUGAGAGGAUGAUCAGCCACAUUGGGACUGAGACACGGCCCAAACUCCUACGGGAGGCAGCAGUGGGGAAUCUUGCGCAAUGGGCGAAAGCCUGACGCAGCCAUGCCGCGUGAAUGAUGAAGGUCUUAGGAUUGUAAAAUUCUUUCACCGGGGACGAUAAUGACGGUACCCGGAGAAGAAGCCCCGGCUAACUUCGUG